GCUGCUCUGGGAAGGGGGACCAGGAGCACAAGAAGCUGGGGACUGUCACGGAGACACGACGGGGACCCAAGCUCAGAGCCAGGCGGCUGCGGCUGGGCUGCGUGGGAAGGUCGUGACUGAUGUGUGCAGGGCAGCAGGACAGGUGUCGAGCUCCGGUGGGUCCCAGCUCCCACCCACCUCUCAGCUCAGGCGUGGGCAGUUCUCGGCUGGCCUACGAUUCCCCUCCUCAGCUGCGUCCCUCGUCCUCCACCCCGGCUCCCAGGCCACCACGCGGGCCGUCAGCCUCGGGCUCACAAACAGGCCUUGCUGACUUAUCGACCAAGCAUCCUGCGCACCUGCUUCUCUGCAUGACGGCGAGCCUCACGCCCGCGCGACUGCUGCCGCCCCAGCCUUUUGCACCCCCCUCCGGCACCUCAGGCAGAACCAGCCACACCCUCCUCGUGGCAGCAUCUCCAGAACGGCACCCACCCCACCGGGGACCUGCCUGGGUGCCCAGCCCGAGCCCACCCUGUGUGAAAACAUCACCUGCUCCCCGCUACGCCCGCAGAAGCAGCAGCAGUGACGAUGAAGACACUGGCGUCUCGCCUGUUGCCACUGCACCCCAGCACCGGGCGUGGGGCCACAGCCUACCCGGGUCAGAACCCCGACACCCCAGCACCGGGCGUGGGGCCACAGCCUGCCCGUGUCAGAACCCCGACACCCCAGCACCGGGCGUGGGGUCACAGCCUACCCAGGUCAGAACCCCGACACUCCAGCACUGGGCGUGGGGUCACAGCCUACCCGGUCAGAACCCUGACACUCCAGCACUGGGCGUGGGGUCACAGCCUACCCAGCCUGCCCAUGUCAGAACCCCGACACUCCAGCACUGGGCGUGGGGCCACAGCCUGCCUGUGUCAGAACCCCGACACUCCAGCACUGGGCGUGGGGUCACAGCCUACCCGGGUCAGAACCCCGACACUCCAGCACCGGGCAUGGGGUCACAGCCUACCCAGCCUACCCGGGUCAGAACCCCUGCUCACACAGCUGCAUCCAUCUGCCCAGUGAACACCCCGUUGGCUCGGGUCCAGGUGCUGCCUUGCCUCACCUGUUCUUACUCUCCCGUCCUCAUUCCAGGAAGUCUGGCCAAAGAGGUGCCUGGGAUAGACAGGGCUCCCUCCGCCUGGUGGGCACUUUAG
rnacentral:lncRNA from 1 species